rnacentral:tRNA from 1 species
GAGGAAAUGGCUCAGUGCUUGAGAGCACUGGCUGCUCUUCAGAGGUCCUGAGUUCAAUUCUCAGCAACCACA